UAUAGCCAGCUUGUUUAGAGAACACCUUGUUCUCUUUUGUACUUGAAUUUAGGCUUUUGUUUUUUGAAUUUAAAGUCUUUUCGAUCAGAAAGGAAAAAUUUUUUUUUACGUAUUUCUCAUCCCAUUUCCUAUUUCUUACCUGUAUUAACUCCCAUAUGUACACUCCACCAUUUUAUCCUAUGACAUUCCUUCUUUUUUCCACCAUUGCUAAAUGUAAUAUCAUUAUUGAAAGAAUUGAGUUUGAGUCCAAGAGAAAAGUGAAUUAGGGUUUUAUGAGAACCAGUGAUGGUGAAGGAAUUGAGUUUGAGUCCAAGAGAAAAGUUACUAAUAAUGAUGGAGUCGAUGGUGGUGUUCAUUGAAGAAUGGAAAAACAGUAAAGAGAUAGAGUUAGGGUUUUGUUUUGAGAUGAAGGAAUCAAGUGCGGUUUUGAGAUCCAGGGAUGAGGAUAAAGCUUAAGAAAUGGAUGCUGAUGGUUGUACUGAUUGUUUUAGUUGACUCAAACUCAUUGGGAAGGUAAAUCAGAAUACAUAAAUUAGGGUUUGUCAAUUGUCUCUUAAAUAUGUAUGUGAAAUUGAAUUAUAAACUGAGUAAUUGGUGAUGGGUUUGUUCUUAAUUGGAGAAAUAGAGAAUUGUAUAGGGUUUCAUUUUAGUUUCUUUUGGAAAUUGAAAUCUUAAGUUGGGGUUUCAAUUGCAGGAGAAAUUAAUGUUGACAUUUUUUGGUAGCUUUGGAUGACAAUGGAGCCUCACACAUAAACCUCUGUAGAAGUCUCAUGCUAAUUGUGCAAGCUUGAUGUCAAGACACAAUACUUACGCAAAAUCAAAUUGAUUAAAGAAAUGAGAAUGGGUUGGUGCUGUUUCAUGCUAGAAAAACCAACAAAAUGAGCUGCAGCUAUUGAUUUGUGGUGAGAAGAUGGAGUUGUUGGUUGAUUUAAGUGGCAGAUGGAAAUGGAGGUGUCGGAAUGGUUGUUGUUGAGAAGAUAUUGAUGGAAUAAAGGGGAUGUAUGGUUUUUUGAUUCUGUUGAUGUCAAGAGAUUGGGAUUGAAGUUCUGAAUGAGUUGUUGUUGAUGUUACAGAGAGUAGAAGUUGUUGAUGAGUUUCUAAUUGACAGAUGCAAGGAAAUGUUGGUGAUAUGCAUUUGCAAUGGGUUUAGGAGUGAUGUGUUCUGCAGUUUCUAUUGUUGUUGGCUUGGAUUUCAGAUGCAGUGAAGACGUUGUGGUCUUGCAACUAAAUGGAUGUGUACUGGUGGUUCUGCUUCAAGGAACUGAAAAUGGGUAGCUGUUAGUUUGAUGGCUUAGAAGAUGCAGGUUAUGGUGAAUGUGUUGUUGAGUUGUGAAGUGGGAAAGAAUCGGGGAAAGAAACUGGAAGUGUUGGUGAUGCUAUGAAGAGCAAGAAAUGAAUGAUUGUGAGUGUAUAAAUGUAUGCUAGGAGUGCAGGGAUGGACUAAACAACAAUAAAAAUAACUCUGCCUGAAUUUCACUAAGGCGAGUUAACUCAGACCAACACAGUGAUUCAUUGUUCCGACACAGUGAGUAAGAUCAAGUUAGCCUAACUUGCCCUGCCACACCAAAUCAAGAAAAUGCCUAAAAGGACCAGUUAAAGCCGCAGUCCGCUGCAAAUGAUGGCACAAAAGGUUUAGCUGCAGCCUGUAUUCGUUCAUAUACACUAUACCUGCUAUGAUUUUGUAAAACAAAUGGAGUUUGCUACUCCAUUAUAUUAUAUAGCUUAAAAUAGUUCUCCUGAUUGGAAACAUAAAAAUCUGUGCUGGAUUUAGGCUUUAGGGGAUGUUAUCUUAUAUUCCUAUAUGUACUUCCAUGAGGAGCAAAAAUCAGAAU